UGCAGCCUUGUCAAAUUCAGUGUGUUCUUUCAAAUGGACCUCACUGGCCAAAAUGGCUGCCACAUCGACUGUAGUUCAUGGGCCCCGCUUCCUAGUUUCAUGGGCAGUGGGGAUAAAUAUGUACUACAAACAAAU
rnacentral:snoRNA from 1 species